AACUUUCUGUUCUGCCCAUUGGCUAUAGCCUUUUCCUCCCAUCUACUUCAGCCUUGUCCUGGAGAAAGAAGACAGUUGUCUAAGAUGAGAGAAGAGUAUUCGAACCUGCUUUGUCUGAGUACAUGGUAAUGCCUACACUAAAUUGAUUACCUCCUCACUUAAAGCGAACAUUUAAUAUGCAGGCAGGCUGUUCAAAGUAUGGUUGGAGAAAAAAGGAUUUACUUGGAUAUGAUUUCCAGGAAUGCUAAGACUUGUCAAAAAUAGAGAUUUGUAUCUGUGUGUUUGUCUUUCAAAUAUGUUAUGUGACCAUGUGUUAUUAUAUGAGUAUUUGCAUCCUACAAAAGGAAAAAAAAAAAAUCAGUAUGAAACUGGAACAGAAUACAAGUAAUUCUCAUAAUAGAAAAAAAAUGCCCCUUUGAGGCCAAUACCUGGAAAAUUCAAUAUCUAUGUCUUGGCAUGUAACUCAUCACUUUGUUUAGCCACAUUUUUCAUCAGAACCUCAAAUUAUCAAGAAUCACAAACAGAAGCCCCCAAAUAAGCCAGCUUUGGGGAUAAACUAGGCCAGAUGGUUAGAAAAAGGUUUUGCUGCUAUGAAAGGGUCAGUUCUUCUAAGCUGUGACUUUAAGGCCUUUUGGGACUAGUUCAACCAAAGAGUAGGUCAUAGAUAUUCAAUACAACUUAGUAAGAGCCUACUAUGUUCCAGGUACUUGUGGAGACAGUGACAAAAAAAUGAGAAUCGACCUUUGCCCUCAAGGAAUUUAUAUUCUCUCUCUUGUAGAGGGAUUAAAAAAAAAGUUUUCUAUUACCUUUUCUGCAGUCUAGUGAGGAGCCUGAAACAGUGUUUCAAGAAACAAUACUCUCCUCCAUUUACACUCCCUCUAAACAUGUCAGUGACUGAAAACUGGCAGAUAUCCAAGGAAAAAACUAGGUUAUCUCAGAUGUUAUGUAUCUGGGGUAUGCUUAAGAAGCAGAGGUAAAUAUUAACCAAGGCUUAGUGACAAUAGGAGAAAAAAAACAAUAUUGAUAGUCCUGGGAUUAAAAAUGAGGAUAAUAGCAUUAAAAUCAAAUAUAUCUCUUGAUCACUGGACUCCAGCAGCAAUCUUUCUUCCACUGAAGAAUGUUUCUAACAGGAGAGAGCUGAUAACUGCAUUUGAUGAACUUUAGGAACCUGGAGGAGUUGGGAGAAAUUGGGGAAAAGGUACAGUAAAGGUUAUUUUAAAAUUUUAAACAUUAAAAUUAGAAGAAAGCUGCUAGUAUAUCUGCUGAACUUUAGGUGACUAGUGGAUUUGGGAAAGGGGACAGAGAUGUGGCAAU
rnacentral:lncRNA from 1 species